rnacentral:rRNA from 1 species
UACGUAGGGGGCAAGCGUUGUCCGGAUUUAUUGGGCGUAAAGAGCGUGUAGGCGGUCAGGUAGGUCCGUUGUGAAAACUCGAGGCUCAACCUCGAGACGCCGAUGGAAACCAUCUGACUAGAGUCCGGAAGAGGAGAGUGGAAUUCCUGGUGUAGCGGUGAAAUGCGUAGAUAUCGUGAGGAACACCAGAGGCGAAGGCGGCUACCUGGACAAUUGCUGACGCUCAGGCACGAAAGCGUGGGGAGCAAAAGGG